UUAUUUGAGAGUUUGAUCCUGGCUCAGGAUGAACGCUGGCGGCGUGCCUAACACAUGCAAGUUGAGCGAUUUACUUCGGUAAAGAGCGGCGGACGGGUGAGUAACGCGUGGGUAACCUACCCUGUACACACGGAUAACAUACCGAAAGGUAUGCUAAUACGGGAUAAUAUAUU
rnacentral:rRNA from 1 species